UACAAUUUUCAAUACUAAGAAAUGAUAUUUUUCUGUGUACAAAUGUUAAAACAGACGAUUAACGUUGUUCAUUAGUAUUAGAAGAAUGGAGACUGAUGAAACUCGUCAUACACAAACUGUUAUUGCUUAUAAACGAAUGAAAAACAUCCUCAAAACGAGCUUUGUGGCAAACAUUGUACUUACUCUCAUCGUGAUGUGUGUAUUUAUCGCUCGUAGGUCUGGAUUACUUUGGACUGAUGUUAUCUUACCGUCGAACACUACUAGCACAGACGCACAAGUCAACAACAGGGUGAGCUUAGGAAGCAGGGCAAUCUGUAUAACGUGUGGUUUAAGUGUCAAGGACCUAAGGACCACUCUUUAUGAUUACAUUACCACUACAGCGAGUAGCACAAACCUAUGUUGUUUGGAAAAUGACCCAGAUAAACAGGAUAUAAUACUAGAGUUGGCUGCUACAGGACAUACCCAGUACAUCUAUGAAGGACCCUCCACCCGGAAACUAACAUGGUGGACCGAACGCAACUACGCUGCACAUUUGUACGCUGACCAUCUUCCGAAUAAUAAUAAGUUAAUAUGGACCACCACAAGACACAGCACGUCAUUCGUACGAAACCUAACACUCUCCACUGACGACUGGAAGAAACUGACUGUCCCUGACGUAGCUGGUGCGGGAAAAUAUUUAGUUUAUUCGAUGUUCACAUUUGAUUUCCGUGAUGAAGCUACCAUUAACUACAGUCAGACAAUACGACACGUAAUUAUGAAAAACAAUAAUUCUCUGCAAAGUGAAAAUGGAGAGAAAAUAUUUCAGUCAACACUUGGAAGUGAAUAUAUGUCUGUACGACAAACAACAUACUUGAGCGGUGUCGUGAGUUUAAACAAAUCAGACACUGUCUAUGUUAAAGCUUUCUCAAUGUCUCUAAGGGAAUAUACAACUGAAAAAUAUAUCGAUGCGUCCUCACCAUACAACAACUUUUUUGGCAUGUUCAAAUUGGAAUAAGAACUUAACAAUUGAACACAAUGCUCAUUAAACGACAUCAAAAUUCUCAAUAUAAGUCAUGGAGGUUCUUGAACGAGUUACGAUUGAUGAGCAUGUAUAUUUACAUUUGCUCUGCAUCCUUCCAUCAAAAUGUAAACAUAAAUAAUGAAUAUUUUAGCAAAUAUUGUUAUGGUCCUAUAGCACACAUUUAUAUUGCUGACAAACUUACAUGAGGCCCUUUCGGGUAUGUACCCUAUCGGAAUUAUUGUCAUCACCAGCACUGAAUAACUCGCGUUAAUUUUCAAAUUCACACGAGAUUUAUCGAAUGACAAUUGGUUAUCAUGUUUAUAUAAACGAGUUUAUUUUCAAAUUAUAUAAAGACACGAUAUUUUUAUCUAGUGAUGAUUGGUUAUCAUGUUUAUAUAUUCGAGUUUAUCUUCAAAUUGUAACAUGACACGAGAUUUAUCGAGUGAUGAUUGGUUAUCAUGUUUAUAUAAUCAAGUGGGUUUUUUUCAAAUUGUAUGAAGACACGAGAUUUAUCGAGUGAUGAUUGGUUAUCAUGUUUUUAUAAUCGAGUUAAUUUACAAAUUGUAUAAAGACACGAGAUUUGAUGAUUGGUUAUCAUGUUUAUAUAAUCGAGUUAAUUUGCAAAUUGUAUGAAAACACGAUAUUUAUCGAGUGAUGAUUAUUUAUCAUGUUUAUAUAAUCGAGUUAUUUUUUAAAUUGUAUCAAGCCACGAGAUUUAUCGAGUGACGAUUGGUUAUCAAGUUGAUACAGUAUAAUCGAGUUAAUUUUCAAAAAGUAUAAAGACACGAGAUUUAUCGAGUGAUGAUUGGUUAUCAUGUUUAUAUAAACGAGUGAAUUUUCAAAUUGUAUAAAGACACGAGAUUUAUCUAGUGAUGAGUGGUUAUCAUGUUUAUAUAAUCGAGUUAAUUUUCAAACUGCAUAAAGACAUGAGAUUUAUCGAGUGAUGAUUGGUUAUCAUGUUUAUAUAAUCGAGUUAAUUUUCAAAUUGUAUCAAGCCACGAGAUUUAUCCAGUGACGAUUGGUUAUCAAGUUGAUACAGUAUAAUCGAGUUAAUUUUCAAAUUGUAUAAAGACACGAGAUUUAUUGAGUGUCUAGUGUCUUCUCCACAAUUUGACAACUCUCUCAUUGGAAGUAGAUACAACUGUUUCCCCUUUUUCAAUUUCAUUAUUAAAUAGUUUAAACAACAUAUAUGUUCUGUUUGGUGUGAGACGAGAUGUCGAGGUUUACACAGACGCUGUAUUAGGUUGUUUAUUUUUUUUAAUAAGUAAUAAUGGUAAAUUGAUAUGCUACAAGCUAAUUAAAUGUUUAUUCACUAAACAGAGAUAAUAUAUUUUAUAUAGAAUUUAUUACGAGAUUAUAUUCUAAAAUAAUUCAUCACGAUUUUUUACUCGUGAAUUAACUCGUAUAAUUUAUUACGAUACUAUAUAUAUAGUUAUUACGAGAUUAUAUUCUAUAUAUAAUUUACUACGAUAUUAAACUAUCUAUUUUUUGUUGACGACAGACAUGUGAAAUUUCAUAAAUCAAAUUAUAUAAUGACGUUACAAUAGAGAUGAAGGAUGAAGAGCUAACAUUGGAGUUUUUAAAAAUUCAAAAAUGACUGAAAAAUUAGAGUUUAGUAAUAUUCUCAAAACGUUAUGAUAAACAAAUGGGUGAGUUACCAUUCAUGUAAAUGAAUGAGUAUGGUAACGUUUUUUUCAUUUUAGACCGCAAGAGGCUUGCUGAUAAAAUAAAGACUCGUUUCACAAAUCUGUUUUAAAACAUAAAUUCAUAAAAUAUCGUUUAUGUAUGCCAAGGUUUUAUACGUUAAUGAACAGAAAAACUUUAAUUUUAGAUUUUGGUUGAUACACCGCUUUUCAAACGGGAUAUGCCUUAUUUAGUAAUGAGCGAUGGUUCAAAUGUAAAGUAAUAAACGAAGAACAUAUAAAAUUAGCAGAUAUCAUCAAUAGGUUGCUCACUAUCUUAAUAUGUACUUUUAAUUUGGUUGAUUUUGAUACAUUGUUUCAUUUUAUAAUUGAUUUCCCUCGAAUGCUUCUUUCACGUGGUACAUUUUCCAAUCUCUUGAGUUAGCAAAAAUAAAAGGUAAAUGCAUGACAGCGUGAACGUUUAUUUCUGUGUGAGUAACCCGGAUUGUAAAUAGUUCUCUGUUCACAAACUGUUUGACAAUCCCAGUUCUUUGUUAUCACUAACUGACACGACUUAAUCUGCGUUUAAAACAUGUACAGGUUUCCACGAAUCAAUAUUCGUCGGUUUUUCCAGAAUCAAAUCUAUUUUUAGCGUUGGGUUUAACCCACAAUUCCGGACAGUCGCCAUUCUAUGUUAUUCGUGGUGGGUAUAACUAACGACGUUUACGGAAUGGAUAUGAGUUAUAAUAGACAGGUAGCUAUACCGUUUUGAGCAAUGGAGGACGUUACAAAAAGUAAAUGUUAUAAUCGGUUAAAACUAGCAAUCAAAGUGUCGUUUGUGACUAAUCUUGUGUUGGUUGUAGCACUACCAUGUGUGUAUAUAGCACACCGGAUCAAUGACAGUAACCGUCAUCUACCGGACAAAACCCAAACGGCUCACCAACAAUCAGCAGCGGAUACAUUACCAGACAGAAUAUGUCUCACGUGUUCUUAUUUCAACGAUGUGAUUGGUGUGGAGAAAAACGUUUUAUAUGAAUUCGUUUCUGGCUCGAAUGGACACCGCUUAUGUUGUAUCAACGAUGGGUUUGGAAUUCAGAAUAUCUUCUUCGAGAUGCUGAUGGGAAACCAAUAUGACUCACACCAACACUCAACACGAGAACUCAAGGAAAUGACACAGAGAAUGCAGUGGUGGCGAGAACGAGAUUAUUCCGCUCAUCUUUAUGGUGACUUUUACGAUAUAAAAAAUGGUGCUCUGUCUUGGACCAUUGGUAAUUCUUUCGGGACAGGCUUCAUUAGGAAUCUGACAUUACUUCCUGGGAGUUCAAAGGUCAGAUUGACGUCGUUUGAUGGUGGAAGUGGUGAAGGGAUGUACUUUAUAUAUUCGCUGAUCACAUUGACUUUGAAUACAUCAACAAACACGUCUUUAGGUAUUCAUACUAUAAACAAAUGCAAUGAUGAAAUAAUGGAUUGUGCUCCUAUAACACUAGCAAGAAGGAAAUUCGGUGGCGAUCGCGAAAGUAAUGAGGCGUUUGGUAAUAUAAUGAGUUUUCUGUGUAUUACCGAGAGGUUGACGAUUGGGGACACACUAGACAUAUCGAUACAUGUGUCACCUAAAUCUAGUUAUAAUAGAAAUGGAAUAUUCUCAAAUUACUUUGGAAUAUUUAAAUUAUAAUGUGUACAAUAUUUUAUGUUUUUUACCAUCAAUAUUAUAAAGGAAGGACACGUGUAAGGAGUGCAUCUACCAAUGAUGUGUACUGUUUAAAUGUAAAGUAAAAAUAAAGUGAGUAAAUGUGU